rnacentral:rRNA from 1 species
GACAGAGGUGCCAAGCGUUAGGCGGAAUCACUGGGCUUAAAGCGUGUGUAGGCGGACUGGUAAGUACCUUGUGAAAUCCCACGGCUCAACCGUGGAACUGCUCGGUAUACUGCUCGUCUUUGAGCCACUUAGGGGCUGUCGGAACAAACGGUGGAGCGGUGAAAUGCGUAGAUAUCAGGAGGAACACCGAUGGCGAAGGCAGGUCUCUGGGCCAUAAACUGACGCUGAGAAGCGAAAAGCAUGGGGGAGCGAAACGG